CUCUUCUUCCUCAAAAAACAAGAGAAACUCUCUCAAUUCAUCCCCCCAUCUUUCCGAUCUCCAGGCAUUAAGGUUACCGGACUUUGCCGUGACGGUCGCCGGCUGCCUUGAAAAGCGUCAAAUAAAAAGGCACCCUUCUAAUUGCCUUUUUGUCCUUAGGCCUAUUUUGAAGCCAAAACCCCUCAAAACCUAACCAAACUCAACAGAGAAAAAAGAAACACUUCGUUUCCUCUCCCUUUUCCUGCGUCGCCUUCAACGGCGAGGAUGCCGACCGACUCAAGUGGUGUCAGAGAAGCGUCAGACGCAUGGAGAGGUGGUGGCUGGCGUGCAGCAACGUGAAGAGGCUAGGCUAGGGGCUAGGGUUUCUGUUGCUAGUUUGGGUUAUGGGUUGUUUGGGCUAGGGUUAGUUUUGGGCUUGUAAAAGAAAACUAGACUGUUUUUUUUAUGGACUAUUAAUUUUUAUUUUGGUUUUUAUUUCUGUCUAUUUUUUGGUCUUGGGCCUGGGCCAAAAUUGGCCUAUUACAAACAA